rnacentral:rRNA from 1 species
AUUGAACGCUGGCGGCAGGCCUAACACAUGCAAGUCGAGCGGUAACACAGGGAGCUUGCUCCCGGGUGACGAGCGGCGGACGGGUGAGUAAUGUCUGGGAAACUGCCUGAUGGAGGGAGAUAACUACUGGAAACGGUAGCUAAUACCGCAUAACGUCGCAAGACCAAAGAGGGGGACCUUCGGGCCUCUUGCCAUCAGAUGUGCCCAGAUGGGAUUAGCUAGUAGGUGGGGUAACGGCUCACCUAGGCGACGAUCCCUAGCUGGUCUGAGAGGAUGACCAGCCACACUGGAACUGAGACACGGUCCAGACUCCUACGGGAGGCAGCAGUGGGGAAUAUUGCACAAUGGGCGCAAGCCUGAUGCAGCCAUGCCGCGUGUAUGAAGAAGGCCUUCGGGUUGUAAAGUACUUUCAGCGGGGAGGAAGGUGUUGAGGUUAAUAACCUCAGCAAUUGACGUUACCCGCAGAAGAAGCACCGGCUAACUCCGUGCCAGCAGCCGCCGUAA